UUAAAUUAUUAUUAUUUAAUAUUUGUCAUUAAUCCUGAAGUUUAUGUUUGAAAUAGUGUUUAACUGUGGCAGCAGUGAUUCCUGGUCACAGACAGAAGGUGGAUGUUUUCAGCAGUACAGGCCUGCCUGAUGGGGAAGGUGGUUUCCAGACAGCAGGAUGCCUGCAGUAACACAGGAAGUGCUACAGCUGUGUUCAUCUGGAAGAACAUCAAAGUAACUUGUGACAGUGAACUUGGGUUGGAGAUCUCUCUCCAAGUUUCUUGAAAACAGCUGCAAACAUUGGACGGGACGGCAGGAUGAAAUUGCCAAGGCUGCGUUUUGGAGCGUGCACAUAGAGGGGCUUUGGAUGAAGCAGGCCUUUGUUGCUCAGUACAUGAUUGCUGGUGAGUUUGUUUGCUUCUGGAAGCCUCUGUCUGCUGCUGGCUGGGGCAGCCUGUAAGCACUUCUGCAAACCUCUAUCUGAAACCUUAGGUAGGGUCGCAAGCUUUGUUAACAUUACCCGACUGCUCCCCCUUGUGCUGGCAACUGAGGGUUCUGUCUACACGCCUUCGUGUUCGUGGGCUUUGUCUGGAAGUGUAUCCUUUUGCACUUCUUUUGAAGUUUUCACUGCGGGUUCACUGAAGCGCUUUACUUUCAGCCUUGUUGCAUUCAGCAGUUUCACGUGGAGGGAAUGGUGACCAUCCAGUUUCUGGUGACUGUGUUAUGUCUUCAUGUGUUUGAAUAGGAUAAAUGGGUAUUACACUGAAACCCGUACACUCAAUCCCUAAGUGGCUUUAUGAAAACAAACAGUUUUUUAUUUAAACCAGCAGCAUUUUAUCUAUGUAAACAGCUUUCAAACAUAAACACUUACCCACAUAAAUUUUUAUGAUGUUUGGUUAUGUUCCUGCAAUGCUGUCAUCGAUGCGUAUUUCUUCGUUGGGAGAAUGACGUUCACAGAAUUGGCACUUUGUGAUUAAAAGUAAUAACAUUUGCUGCCAGUUUGGUCGUUGGCCAGCAGUGAUGUUUUUGGGGAGCGCCUCCAUUCCUGAAGUCAGAUGAUUUUACAGAAAAUACAGAUGAGGAGAGGUGUAAACCUAAAUAGCAAAGCUUGCGAUGCUUUGGAAGGAAGGAAUCUGGAAAUGUUUCUGGAAAUGUAGGAGCUUUUAAGAUUACAUGCCUUAUCAAAUACUUGUCAAAUGAUAAUUAGUUAAAACCAAGCGUAAAUUGCGGAUGCAAUCGGCUUCAUCUUCUCAGAACGUUCUUUAGUUAAGACUGCAGUUGCACC
rnacentral:lncRNA from 1 species